GAUGAAGAACGCAGCGAAAUGCGAUACUUGGUGUGAAUUGCAGAAUCCCGUGAACCAUCGAGUCUUUGAACGCAAGUUGCGCCUCAAGCCAUUAGGUUGAGGGCACGUCUGCCUGGGCGUCACAUAUCGUUGCCUGAUGCCAGUUUCCUCGUGAUGGGUGACUGUGCAGGGCGAAUGAUGGCUUCCCGUGAGCAUUGUUGCCUCAUGGUUGGUUGAAAAUUGAGUCCUUGGUAGGGAGCGCCGUGAUAGAUGGUGGUUGAGUGACGAACGAGACCCAAUCAUGUGAGACCCCUACCGAAUUUGGCCUUCAUGACCCACAUGCGUCUUUGGAACGCUCAUGACGAGACCUCAGGUCAGGCGGGGCUACCCGCUGAGUUUAAGCAUAUCAAUAAGUGGAGGA
rnacentral:misc_RNA from 1 species